rnacentral:tRNA from 1 species
GGGGGCAUAGCUCAAUGGUAGAGCAUCGGACUCUUAAUCCGCAGGCUGAAGGUUCGAGUCCUUCUGCCCUCACGA